UGGGGAAUUUUGGACAAUGGGCGCAAGCCUGAUCCAGCCAUGCCGCGUGUCUGAAGAAGGCCUUCGGGUUGUAAAGGACUUUUGUCAGGGAAGAAAAGGCUGUCGCUAAUACCGACAGUUGAUGACGGUACCUGAAGAAUAAGCACCGGCUAACUACGUGCCAGCAGCCGCGGUAAUACGUAGGGUGCGAGCGUUAAUCGGAAUUACUGGGCGUAAAGCGGGCGCAGACGGUUACUUAAGCAGGAUGUGAAAUCCCCGGGCUCAACCUGGGAACUGCGUUCUGAACUGGGUGACUAGAGUGUGUCAGAGGGAGGUAGAAUUCCACGUGUAGCAGUGAAAUGCGUAGAGAUGUGGAGGAAUACCGAUGGCGAAGGCAGCCUCCUGGGAUAACACUGACGUUCAUGCCCGAAAGCGUGGGUAGCAAACAGGAUUAGAUACCCUGGUAGUCCACGCCCUAAACGAUGUCGAUUAGCUGUUGGGCAGCAUGACUGCUUAGUAGCGAAGCUAACGCGUGAAAUCGACCGCCUGGGGAGUACGGUCGCAAGAUUA
rnacentral:rRNA from 1 species